GGGUCGUUAAGUUGGUAGAGCAGUUGACUUUUAAUCAAUUGGUCGCAGGUUCGAAUCCUGCACGACCCACCA
rnacentral:tRNA from 1 species